rnacentral:rRNA from 1 species
UACGUAGGGGACGAGCGUUGUCCGGAUUCAUUGGGCGUAAAGCGCGCGUAGGCGGCCACGCAAGUCGGGUGUGAAAUCCCGGAGCUCAACUCCGGAACUGCACUCGAAACUGCGCGGCUUGAGGUAGGUAGGGGAGAUCGGAAUUCCUGGUGUAGCGGUGGAAUGCGCAGAUAUCAGGAGGAACACCGGUGGCGAAGGCGGAUCUCUGGGCCUUACCUGACGCUGAGACGCGAAAGCUAGGGGAGCGAACAGG